rnacentral:misc_RNA from 1 species
GAUGAAGAACGCAGCGAAAUGCGAUAAGUAGUGUGAAUUGCAGAAUUCAGUGAAUCAUCGAAUCUUUGAACGCACAUUGCGCCCCUUGGUAUUCCAUGGGGCAUGCCUGUUCGAGCGUCAUUUGUACCUUCAAGCCUUGCUUGGUGUUGGGUGUUUGUCUCGCCUCUGCGCGCAGACUCGCCUCAAAACAAUUGGCAGCCGGCGUAUUGAUUUCGGAGCGCAGUACAUCUCGCGCUUUGCACUCAGAACGACGACGUCCAAAAGUACAUUUUUUACACUCUUGACCUCGGAUCAGGUAGGGAUACCCGCUGAACUUAAGCAUAUCAAUAAGCGGAGGA